ensembl:lncRNA
GUUUGACAAAAAGCAGCCUUCAAAUGACGGUGACGUAUUCAUGACUACAAAAGAAAGCAUUGCCUACCAAGAAAGAUGCUGCACUCAUUGACUUCCUUCCACAUGCUACAAAGAAGGUUAAAAUGGGCCAGCUGGCUAGCUACACUUAAAAGAAGGAACGUGUUCUUAAGUCAUCUUAUUUUCCUGCUGAGGGUUAAGCAAUUAAACCCAUCCUUCCUGAGACAAAUUCCUGGCCUACCUUUCCUAAGACUAAUUACAGAAAGUGAUUUGGUAUUUGGAUCUGGAGUGGGGAAAAAAGCAGCUGAGGAGGAUUUACUGACUGUCUUUUCUACAUCUGGAUAUCACAUUGAAAUAGGAUUGAGGCUCAGAGCCUCUCUCUCUCAUCUCUGACAAUCCAUAAAAAGAAAAUGCUGUGGCAUCUACGCAUUGGCAACACUCCUUCAAUAGUUUCUAUUCCAAAGUAUCAGUAGAGGAACCAUCUGUGUGCACCGUGGCUUUUCAGCAUCCCUGAGAAUAUCAUCACAGCAAUGGAGGAGUGCAAGGAAUACAACAAACUACAUUUGUCCAUUAGAAAAAUCAAACACGUUAUUUUUCUGGAGUAAUGGACUGUGUUUGCUGUCUAGCUAUAAAAGUUUUAUGCACAUUGAUGAUGUUCUGCAACGAUUUUUCAUUUCUCCAUUUACUUGUGUGUGUGUAUUUGUAACUGCAUGAAUAUUCAGAAAUUGUUUAUACUGUUUCUUAUGUGCUUCUCAGCCAUAAAUUCCGAGUUUCAUUCUGACUCAGUCUUGCUGUAUCUCAGAAAUCAUUUUUAGUUAUUUAUUCCUCAAAGAUUGAUCCCAGUUUUGCUUCUCUCAGUAACCAAUGAAACAUUUUUUUAUUUACAUAUUUGGAGAUUUUAAUCUCACAGUUAUCUAUCUUCAUGUCAGUCACUACUUACUGCUGAGGAACAUUUUGGAAUCUCUUCCAUUAGAGGCUUUCAAAUAGAAGCCAGAUAAGCAUUUUUUCCUCAACUAAUUUAGGAAUAGUACAGUUGUGCAGGGUUUGGACUAGAUCUCUGUGAGGUCCCUUCCAACCCAAUGAUUUCAUGAUAGGAGCUCAUGUAGACGAACACAAUCUAGCUUUCAACUUGCUUGAACGUUGAUAGCUGUGUAACUGCAGUAGCUCAGUGGUUGUUAUCUGCAGAGCUAAGAACCAGAGUAUUAGACAUACCUUUUGGCUUCUUGGACAUACUUUUCAACCUCCUCUAAGUUCUGCAGUACUGCUACACCAUUAAUAAUGCCAAAGUCAGUUAGUGUAAAGCCACCUCUGGCAUGUAUUUAUGAGCGGCUGUCAAAACAGCAACUAUAGCAUACACAUACCCUUUGAGAAAUGUUGCAACAGGAAUACCAGAAAAAGACAGGUUGCCAAAAUUGGGUCUGAUUGUUCUAGGAAAGUACUGGAAAUAUAUAAAGGAAUAGCAUUUCUAUGGUGGAUGGCAUGGGGGAUUUUGGCAUUCAAUUCCAUUAUUUUUUCUGGACAUCCUGUAUUUGUCUUUUAGUACUUUUAUUUUAGUUUUUCUCUUGCUAUAACAACCACAGAUUCUUUGGACAUUAAGCACCGCAAUAAAAACUACUCGUGAAAGUCA